rnacentral:rRNA from 1 species
GUGAGUCAUCGAAUCUUUGAACGCAUCUUGCGCUCCUUGGUAUUCCGAGGAGCAUGCCUGUUUGAGUGUCAUUAAAUUCUGUCAAAACAUGCACUUGAGUGUGUUUUGGAUUGUGGGAGUGUCUGCUGGCUUUAUGAGCCAGCUCUCCUGAAAUACAUUAGCUUUGGGGGGGAGGUGCCAAGUCACUUCUGCCUUUCCAUUGGUGUGAUAGAUGAAUUAACUUAUCUACGCCAGGAAAGCAGGCUUCAGGUGAUGCACUGUGAUCUCUCUCUGCUCUCUAAUUGACAUUUGUCUGAUAACUUGACCUCAAAUCA